rnacentral:ribozyme from 1 species
CAAGAAGGCCGGAGAGCGAGACUCCUGGCUCUGCUACAACGUCAACGGCGUCUGGGCGGUGCAGUCGACUGCCCUGAAGGGCAAAGAGCAGGGCCACAUGUUCUCGACGGACGCCGGCAUUGACUCACCUGAGCUCUGCAAAGGCUGGCAGUUGUGGAACGGCGAGUCCUGGCAGGCGCAGC